rnacentral:rRNA from 1 species
AGCCUGUGAAGGGGAGGCAAAUCCCAAAAAUAAACGUCCCAGUUCGGAUUGUAGUCUGCAACCCGACUACAUGAAGCUGGAAUCGCUAGUAAUCGCGGAUCAGAAUGCCGCGGUGAAUACGUUCCCGGGUCUUGUACACACCGCCCGUCACACCAUGGGAGUCGGAAAUGCCCGAAGUCAGCGGCCCAACCGAAAGGAGGGAGCUGCCGAAGGCAGGCCUGGUGACUGGGGUGAAGUCGUAACAAGGUAAC